CUUUUAACUCAUUCAUGACAGAUUCCAUACCUGGAUAUCAUGUUAGAUAUUGUCCCUCCCCCUUGUUAUACAUUGUUUAGAGAGCUGUUAGGUUUAUCUAAAACCUAUUUAAAUAGACUACACUAUUUUUCUUAAACAGCUUGAGCCUGGUUUGACAAGAGGAAUUGUAUCUACUAUUUCCUAGCACCAUAAACACUACAACAAGCUGUAGC